rnacentral:rRNA from 1 species
UACGUAGGGGGCAAGCGUUGUCCGGAUUUAUUGGGCGUAAAGAGCGUGUAGGCGGUCAGGUAGGUCCGUUGUGAAAACUCGAGGCUCAACCUCGAGACGCCGAUGGAAACCAUCUGACUAGAGUCCGGAAGAGGAGAGUGGAAUUCCUGGUGUAGCGGUGAAAUGCGCAGAUAUCAGGAGGAACACCGAUGGCGAAGGCAGGUCUCUGGGCAUUAACUGACGCUGAGGAGCGAAAGCAUGGGGAGCGAACAGG